rfam:Mus musculus chromosome 9, GRC primary reference assembly.
CAAAGUGAGCUGCUUUUAACAGAGAAGUAACAAAACAUCAAAUUCAAAGAGAACCUUCCAGGAAAGGGAUCCUGAGAAAAGGCUACCACGUCCAAGGAAGGCAGCAGGCAUGCAAAUUACCCACUCCUGACCCAGGGAAGUAGUGA